rnacentral:tRNA from 2 species
GGCAACUUGGCCGAGUGGUCUAAGGCGACGCACUCAAGUUGCGUUCUCGCAAGAGGCGUGAGUUCGAAUCUCACAGUUGUCA